rnacentral:rRNA from 1 species
AGAGUUUGAUCCUGGCUCAGGAUGAACGCUAGCUACAGGCUUAACACAUGCAAGUCGAGGGGAAACGACAUCGAAAGCUUGCUUUUGAUGGGCGUCGACCGGCGCACGGGUGGAGUAACGCGUAUCCAACCUGCCCACCACUUGGGGUAUAACCUUGGCGAAAGUAAGACUAAAUACCCAAUGAUAUCUCUAGAAGACAUCUGAAAGAGAUUAAAGAUUUAUCGGUGAUGGAUGGGGAUGCGUCUGAUUAGCUUGUUGGGCGGGGUAACGGCCCACCAAGGCGACGAUCAGUAGGGGUUCUGAGAGGAAGGUCCCCCACAUUGGAACUGGAGACGACCGGUCCAAACUCCGUACGGGAGGCA